rnacentral:rRNA from 1 species
GACGAACGCUGGCGGCGUGCUUAACACAUGCAAGUCGAACGGAGUGGCGAACGGGUGAGUAACACGUGGGUGACCUGCCCUGCACUUCGGGAUAAGCCUGGGAAACUGGGUCUAAUACCGGAUAGUGUGGGAUGGGCCCGCGGCCUAUCAGCUUGUUGGUGGGGUAAUGGCCUACCAAGGCGGCGACGGGUAGCCGGCCUGAGUGGGUGGACGGCCACAUUGGGACUGAGGCACGGGGCAGAGUGCAAGGGGGGGCAGGAGAGGGGAGUAUUGCACAAUGGGCGGAAGCCUGAUGCAGCGACGGCGCGCGGGGGAUGAAGGCGUUCGGGAUGUAAACCCCUUUGACCACCGACCCGGUAGAUGCAGAAGAAGCACCGGCUAACUCCGCGCCAGCAGCCGCGGUAAUUC